rnacentral:tRNA from 1 species
GUAAAUAUAGUUUACAAAAACAUUAGACUGUGAAUCUAAAAACAGAAGCCCAAACCUUCUUAUUUACC